UACGUAGGGUGCGAGCGUUAAUCGGAAUUACUGGGCGUAAAGCGUGCGCAGGCGGUUCGUUAUGUCCGAUGUGAAAGCCCCGGGCUCAACCCGGGAAGUGCAUUCGAAACUGGCGGGCUUGAAUAUGGAAGAGGGUCGCGGAAUUCCCGGUGUAGAGGUGAAAUUCGUAGAUAUCGGGAGGAACACCAGUUGGCGAAGGCGGCGACCUGGGCCAAUAUUGACGCUGAGGUGCGAAAGCGUGGGGAGCAAACAGG
rnacentral:rRNA from 1 species